UACGUAGGCAGCGAGCGUUGUUCGGAAUUACUGGGCGUAAAGAGUGUGUAGGCGGUGCUCUAAGUUCGGUGUGAAAUCUCCUGGCUCAACUGGGAGGGUGCGCCGGAAACUGGAGUGCUUGAGCGUGGGAGAGGAAAGCGGAAUUCCUGGUGUAGCGGUGAAAUGCGUAGAUAUCGGGAGGAACACCUGUGGCGAAAGCGGCUCACUGGACCAUAACUGACGCUGAUGGCACGAAAGCUGGGGGAGCAAACAGG
rnacentral:rRNA from 1 species